UACGAAGGGGGCUAGCGUUGCUCGGAAUGACUGGGCGUAAAGGGCGCGUAGGCGGCUUGCACCGUCAGAUGUGAAAUUCCUGGGCUUAACCUGGAGGCUGCAUUUGAUACGUGUGGGCUUGAGUGCGGAAGAGGGUCGUGGAAUUCCCAGUGUAGAGGUGAAAUUCGUAGAUAUUGGGAAGAACACCAGUGGCGAAGGCGGCCACCUGGCUUGGUAUUGACGCUGAGGCGCGAAAGCGUGGGGAGCAAACAGG
rnacentral:rRNA from 1 species